rnacentral:rRNA from 1 species
CGAUUACGGCUCAGUAACACGUAGCUAACCUACCCUUAGGACGUGGAUACCCCCGAGAAAUUGGGGUUAAUCCGCGAUAGAUGUAAUGUCCUGGAAUGGUAUUACGUCUAAAGGUAUUUCAUACAUGUUUGAAAUAUGCCUAAGGAUGGGGCUGCGGCCGAUCAGGCUGUUGGUGAGGUAAUGGCUCACCAAACCUUUGACCGGUACGGGCCAUGAGAGUGGUAGCCCGGAGAUGGACACUGAGACAAGGGUCCAGGCCCUAAGGGGCGCAGCAACCGCGAAACCUCCACAAUGCACUUACGUGCGAUGGGGCUAUCUCGAGUGCCACCUGAUGAAGGUGGCUUUUCCUUGGUCUUCAAAGCCUUGGGAAUAAGAGGGGGGCAAGACUGGUGUCAGCCGCCGCGGUAACACCAGCCCCUCGAGUGGUGGGGAUGAUUAUUUGGCCUAAAGCGUCCGUAGCCGGCCGAGCAAGUCUUCCGUUAAAUCCAGCGUCUCAAGCGUUGGACCGCGGGAGAUACUACACGGCUAGAGAGUGGGAGAGGUUAGCGGUAUUCUGGGGGUAGGGGCGAAAUCCUUUGAUCCCCGGAGGACCACCAGUGGCGAAGGCUG